GAUCGACUGGUGUAGUGGUUAUCACGUGUCGUUCACAUUACAAUGUGUGCAAAUAUCCGACAAGGCCCUGAGUUCGAUCCUCAGGUCGAUCA